CGGGGCGUAGCGCAGCCUGGUUAGCGCGCCUGCUUUGGGAGCAGGAGGCCGCGGGUUCGAAUCCCGCCGCCCCGA
rnacentral:tRNA from 1 species